UCUCGAUACUUCCCAUGAACCUUCUUCAUCCCAACUUUUUUUCUUGCUUAUUUUUCUUUCUCUCUCUCUGCAAGUUUAAUCUCUCGAUUGACAUAUGCAAGAAUAAAAGAAAAAUUAUUUGUUUUCAUCUUCUUCUUUCACAAUGGAUCCAGAUCUGUAAGGUGAAAUCCAUUACUGGAUGCAAAGCUAUGUUGGGGUUCAAUACAGUCAAACAAAUAAUCGAUUCCAAUGGUGGUCUGUGCUGUGAAUGACAAAAUCCUUCUUGCCCUUAAUUGAGGGUUGCGGUUUACUUCAACCGGUUCGUAUUGUGAUUUCUGGUUAUGAUGGUGGUGAUGAAGAAGAAGAUGGUCAGUUUGCUAAGAAGAUUUGUCUCACACAACUCGUCUGUUUUGUGAGUUGAGGCCUUGAAUAAUUGCUAAUGGAUUUACUGUUGGUGGUGUUUGUGACGCUGAUGGUGCUGUUAGUGUUUGGUGGUGCAAUUGUUGGUGUUGCUGCUACCUGAAGGUGGUGGUGGUGGUGGUCUCUUACUAAUUACAUAAACAGUGAGGUAUAAAUUGGUAUUGUCUACAGGUUCACCUAUUUGCUGUUAAUGAUUGGAUUAGAUUUUUAUUUCGAUGUAUUGUCUUUAGGGUCUGGAAUUGAUCCUUCAGAAAGGGUUCUUUCUUUAUUUUAGGGACUUUCUUUCGUCAGUUAUUAAUCUGUUUUAGUUUCUUUAAUUUAGGGUCUGGACUGAAUUCAAUCAUCUAUUGUAUAUGUUUUAUGCUAACAGAUUUGCUCAUCUUGUUGCAGGCAAUAACCAGUUCUUUGUAGCCUCUUAACGAUGAUUUGUAUUAUCAUUUCGUUGUAGUGCAUACUUAGUGGAGUUUCUUCUUUGUUACGCUAAUAUUUUUCAAAUUUGAUGUUAAACAUGAUUAUACGUAUUUGAGAAGAAUAUUCUGCGAUCUUUUGUAAGCAAAGGAGUCGUUCAGACUUUAGUCCCAUUCUUUUCCUUUAUUUUUGUGCUACCUGAUAGAGUCUAAAGUAUUUUUCUUUUCUUGCAGAGUGCCAACAAUGUCCACCGGUCACUCGUCCCUCACGCGCUCUUGAUGGAGAAGUAGAUGAAAUUAUGCGUGACUUCGAUGAGCCUGGAACUCUUGCACCAACUGGAUCAUCUAUUUUCCACUAGUUCUAAUUUAGAAGUUUUGCACAGAAACUUCUUAAACAUAAGCACAAAAGACCAUGGUGGUAUUCCUAGACUUAUGUUGAUUGCACGUUUGGCCAAAAAUUGUCAUCCUUAAUGGGAGUGAGGUAGGAUUCGUGAUGGAAUCUUUCCUUCAUCAACUAAUCUGUUUACUCUACUGCUAAAUUCUGUCUUCUACCAUUGAAUUUUGACUAGUCGACAAGAUGGUUGUAUAACUUAUUCCUUUCAUGCAAAAGGGAGCUCAAUCUGAGAAAGGUGCUUAUUUGAAAUUACCAACUUGAAUUGUGUAAGCUCAUCUUCUGAAACUGCAAAUACUGCACAUCAAGUUCUUGAUAAAAAGCCUGAAAGAAACAAAAUGAGGUGUACCAUUACGAAGUGUUGUUCGUUCAUUUUACCGCAUGUGUAUCAAGUAUGGGGGGUUAGUUCAACACCAGCCAGUUUAUCAUUCUACUGAAUUCUUUUUUGUAUGAUUUUGAAUCCAAGUGUAAACUGAAUUUAGUUAUAAAUUGUGUAAUGAAAACAGUUGAUGAUUAAUGGAAAGGUCAUUUUGAAUCUGAGA